GAACUCAGUCAGUAGAGCAUGAGACUGUUAAUCUCAGGGUUGUGGGUUUGAGCCCCAUGUUGCCU
rnacentral:tRNA from 1 species